rnacentral:rRNA from 1 species
UACGUAGGGUGCGAGCGUUGUCCGGAAUUAUUGGGCGUAAAGAGCUCGUAGGCGGUGUGUCACGUCGUUCGUGAAAACCUGCAGCUUAACUGUGGGCGUGCGGUCGAUACGGGCAUCACUGGAGUUCGGCAGGGGAGACUGGAAUUCCUGGUGUAGCGGUGAAAUGCGCAGAUAUCAGGAGGAACACCGGUGGCGAAGGCGGCUCACUGGCUCGUAUCUGACGCUCAGGCGCGACAGCGUGGGGAUCAAACAGG